AUUGAACGCUGGCGGCAUGCCUUACACAUGCAAGUCGAACGGUAACGCGGGGCAACCUGGCGACGAGUGGCGCACGGGUGAGUAAUGCAUCGGAACGUGCCCAGAAGUGGGGGAUAGCCCGGCGAAAGCCGGAUUAAUACCGCAUGAGACCUGAGGGUGAAAGCGGGGGAUCGCAAGACCUCGCGCUUUUGGUGCGGCCGAUGUUAGAUUAGCUGGUUGGUGGGGUAAAGGCCUACCAAGGCGACGAUCUGUAGCUGGUCUGGGGGGACGACCAGCCACACUGAGACUGAGACACGGCCCAGACUCCUACGGGAGGCAGCAGUGGGGAAUUUUGGACAAUGGGCGCAAGCCUGAUCCAGCCAGGCCGCGUGCGGGAAGAAGGCCUUCGGGUUGUAAACCGCUUUUGUCAGGGAAGAAACGCUCUGGGCUAAUACCCUGGGGUAAUGACGUUACCUGUAGAAUAAGCACCGGCAAACUACGU
rnacentral:rRNA from 1 species